AAAGUUUUAUUUUAGCUGAAAAAUUUAUUGUUUUUAUAUUUUAUAUGUAAGUUUUUGCAAGAAUAAUUUUUAUUUUUAAAAAAUUUAAAUUAAUUUUUAUUCGCAGUAUUUUAUUUUGGUUAUUAAAGAAAUUUAGAAUUAGUAAUAAAUAAUAGUAUGGGUUAAUUUUGUGCCAGCAUCCGCGGUUAUACAAAAUAUACGAAUAAAUUUUAUUAUUAUGUAGUUAAAUGAGAUUUAUUUAAAUUAGAUAUUGAAUUUUAAGGUGAAAUUUAAAUUUAAUAAAUAUUUAUUUAUGAUUUUUUUCUGAAGCUAUUAAAAUUUUAAAAUAAACUAGGAUUAGAUACCCUAUUAUUGAAAAUGUAAAGUAUAAAUUAUAUGGUAGUAUUAGUUAAAUUCUUGAAACUAAAAAAAUUUGGCGGUAUUUUAAUCUAAUUAGAGGAAUCUGUCCCGUAAUCGAUAGUCCACGAAUAAUUUUACAUAAUUUUAUUUAAUUUGUAUAUCGUCGUUAUAAGGAAAUUUUAUAAGAAAAAUAAUUUUCUAAAAUUUUUAGUAAAAUUUAUUUCAGAUCAAGGUGCAAUUUAUAAUUAUGAGGAGGUGGAUUACAAUAGAGAAAUUUAUUAUGAAUAAUAAGUUGAAAAAUUUGUUUGAAGGUGGAUUUAAUAGUAAUUUGAAUUAUUUUUAUUUAAAUGAUUAUAGUUCUAAAAUAUGUACAUAUCGCCCGUCGCUCUCUUAAUUAAAAAGAGAUAAGUCGUAACAAAGUAGGUGUACUGGAAAGUGUCCCUAGAAAGAU
rnacentral:ncRNA from 1 species